GCAGGAGGUGUCUUUGGUUUAAGCAUUUGGGGUGCAGAUGUCAAUAUAUAAAGAAAGGGAGAGAAAGAGGGCUCUGCAAUCAAUGAUAUGGAGGUAUCUUUAGCUUAAAUAUUUUGGAGGCAGGGGUUGUUAAAAAAAAAAAGAAUGGAAGAGGGUAUAUGGAAAUAAUUUAAGUUUCUUGGUGUGGACACUCAUGGGGACAAAUUGUUAAUGGUUUUUUGAAUUGUUUGAGGUUUUCUUGGCUUCAUUUAUGUCCAAGUGGGAUACUGGGAUUCUACUUAAAUUUCUGAGUUGGGUGGAGUCUGAUUCAUUAGAAAGAAAAUUUAUGGAGGUACGAUACUAAUUGUUUGUGUGGAUUUAGAUGGUCAUAGAUCACUGUAAGUAUAGUCCUAUCAUUGUUUCUUGAUUUUAUACAGGUAGCAUCCAUAUCAAUUUGAUCCUUAUUAUUUCUUGGUUGGAUCUGAAUAUGUUACUUUGAACAAAUGGUUAGACCUACUGAAAUCACUAAUGUAUCGAUUUCCAAAAAAUAGAUAUAUGAGGAUAUAUUGGAAUCUAUCCGUGGAUAUUUUACAUCGAAUAUUGAAUGUAUCAAUGAAUGUAUCGAUUUGUUUUACAAAAUAUAUAUAAAAUCAAAUUUGGAAGUAUAUUAUCAUAGUAUUUACCUAAAAAACAUCAUAUCUACUAAAAGUAGAAUAAACAAAUUAUUUUUAAAAAAUAAAUUUGCAAAAAAAUAAUAUUUUUCGAAAAUAUCGGAAAUAUCAGAAAAAUAUCAGAAAUAUCGGCCGAUACUUUACAUAAACACCAAGGGGUAAAUGUCGGGAAUGUAUAGUAUCGUUUUCCUAAAAAACCGAUAUAUAUUGCGAUAUAUCGGGAUAUAUCGCGAUAUUUUGUACUAUGACUGAAAUGAAUUAGGUAUGUCACUUUUGAACUGUUUUGAUAAGAAUGCAGUUCCUCGAGCCUUUGAGUUUGCGAGUUCAUGAAUAAUUUUAUGUUUGUUCACUUAUAAUGGAAAACAUUAUUAAAAUAGGUAUGGUUUUCUAUUUGGUUUGAAUUUACUUUGCGCUGUUUUUUGGGCAUUCAUCUAAUGUUGAGCGUUGGAGUGUCUUUGCAUGGAGGAACAAGUUCUUCCUCGUUAUAUAUGUUGCUUUUCAAAAACGUGUUUUGAAGCGGAAAUCUCGAGUUAAAGAAUGGACUCAUCGUUGGUGGAAUUGCACAAUUAUAUAUGAAAUGAUGGAUCACUUUCAGAUGUUGUGGUAUUGAUCUAUUAAGAAUCGAUAUAUUUCGAUAUCAUUCUUAUAUAUAUUGAAAUUAUUCACUUAUGGAAUCUGGAAGAUUGAUAUAAAUUGUGCCUUUCAUAUUCAUGCCUCAAAAUGAGUUAUAUGAUUUUCGAGGCGUUACAUAAAUAAAAUAAAUUAGUUUAAUUAAUAAUCAUCCAAAUAUGAAAAGUGAAUCAAUUUGGGACAUCCAAAAAAGGAAUUCAGGACAACCAAUUUGGGACGGAGGGAGUAUUAUUUAGUGUGUGCAUAUAGGCUAUCGAAGAGAAGUUAAGUGUCAGGGAUUGGUCAGCAACUGGUUCUCUGGUUAUUAUUCGACACCUUUUUCUUGGCUUUGUACUUGGGUUUAAUACCAUACACCUGGUUGUAUUGGUUGCAAGCUUCAUUUUAUUCUUGAUCGAGUUAUUUCUUCCUGUUGUGGACAAGUGACGUGAGCCUUAAGGAACCAAAGAGGAAUUGUUACAGUGUAGCAAAUGAACCUUUAGGGGUGGGCACGGUUCGGUUCGGUUCCAUUUUCCCACUAAAUUGAAACCGAACCGUGCAAGCUGGUUCGGUUCUGUUCGGUUUCAAAAACCGAAAAUUAUUAUUAAAACUGGGUUGGACCGAACCGAUUUGAUUCGGUUCGGUUUUCGGUUUGGGCUUUAUUAUGGGCUUUUGUGUUUUGGGCUUUAAUAACUUCAUUUUUUUUAAUUUUUUUUUUGUAAUUUUUUUGAAUAUUUGAAUAUAUAAUCUAAUAUUUAUAAAAAAAAAAAAAAAAAAAUCAUAUAUAACGUGUAUAUAUAAGUAAAAAAUAAAAUAUAUAUUCGGUUCGGUUCGGUUUGAACCGAAAUAUUAGAAUAGAAAUUGGAACCGAAUUGUAUACACUCGGUUCGGUUCCGGUUCAGUUUGAUCGGUUCCUAGUCAACACAAUUUUGACCGGUUUUGGCCCGGUUCGGUUCCGAUUUUAAUUCGAUUUCCCGGUUUUUUGCCCACCCCUAUGAACCUUGCAGUUUGUAUUUGAGUUCCAGAAUGCUGACGUACGAUUGUCCAUUAAGGAAGCAAUGAUACGAUGAUCAUCAAAAUUCAAGCAUCUGAUUCAAUGUUAUCAGACCUAACCCCGACACUAACUUGGGAAAGGGACUGGGUCACUGGGUUAGUGGUUCAACCACUGUGUCAACUGGAUAGACCAGUUGAAUAUAUAUAUAAUUUUUUAGACAUAGUAUUAUUAACAUACAUAAUUACAUAUGUGAUAUGAUUAGAAUUUAUUAUUAUAUUUACAUGUUAUAUAUAAUCUUAGUUGUUUUCGAUCUAAAAUGACAUAGCCAUGGUGGUUAUAUGCUUGCAUUAUUAAUUUUAUUGAGAUAUUAUGUUUGAAUCCUAAGAAUUGUAUUUUUUUACUUAAAAAAACACAUUUAUUAUUGGGUUAAAGCAUGUAUUGGGUUAUUGGGUCUUGCAAAAUCCAGUGAAACCCGGACAUUUUAAGUAAUUUAGAAUUGGGUCAAUUGUAGAUCCGAUCCUCUAUUUAACCCAACCCAACCUGGUUAAGUAACUGGGUCACCGGUUUUCUAGGUCGACCCACCGGGUUGGUCUGGGUCUGAUAACACUGAUCUGAUCUGAUUAACUUCUUCAAUUUUUUUUCUAGGGACCCCUAUGGACCAGGGUAUAGUGACAUAAAAUUGGACAAUAAUCCCAUCUCUUUAAGUUAAGUACUGUUUUAGAUAUUCUUAUAUGAGUUAUAAUUUCAAAUGAUUGCUAAGCGAAAUUGUGAUUAAACGCCAAAAUAAUUGUAGUAUAGCUAAUAAUGGAAUUCGGAAAAAUAUCAUCAAAGUAUCAAACUAACAAUAAUGUUUUCAAAAAGUCUUCAUCACAGUACAGUUAAAUUUAUGUGGUCCUAUUAAUAAUUAACAUGUCUAUUUGGAACUUUGGAUAAGAAAAUGGGUAAACAAACUUUGGAUAAGAUAUCUGAAACAAGAACGGUCUCGUAGACCGAUGUGUGAUCGAAAUUUAAAGUCACACUGUGUCGCAUUGAAGAACCACUAUGCCUAGUAACACCAUUUUCAAGAAAGAACACCACUUUUACAUUGAACUUAACUAUGUACAUAGCUAGAACUUUAAACUGAGCUUUCAAAAUUAUUAGACCUUCACAUGUCUUGGGACCCAACCAAGUCUUCAAGGGAUCAGCAAGCCUAUGGUGGACAGAACUUCUUUCAUAAGAUUUUAUGUGCUUGUUGAGCAAGAGCAUCUAAAGCUUUCCAUCUUUAAAAGUUUCGCAAAAACUUCAUUCUAUACAAACUCUAUAGAUUACUGAAAAAUGGCUGAGGCAAUUGUUUCAUCUGUUGUAGGAUCCCUUGGUAACUUGCUCAUUGAUCAGACCAUUGCCUUUGUCACUUCUUUCGAAGAGGUGCAUGAGCAAUUUGAGCGUUUGCAAAAAGAAUUCAAAAGCAUCCAAAGGUUCUUAGGGUCUGUUUGAAAACGAAUUCCCGCUUUGUUAGGCAUUCAGACAAACCGGGCAAAAGUGCGGCAAAAGACACAUUUGCCGGUUCCUGGCAAAUGGUUUAUCCUCUUAAAUCAGUUUGCCAUCGUUUGAUAAUACUUUAUAAGAAAGCGGAC
rnacentral:lncRNA from 1 species